rnacentral:rRNA from 1 species
UACGGGGGGGCAAGCGUUGUUCGGAAUUACUGGGCGUAAAGGGCCAGUAGGCGGCCAACUAAGUCGGAUGUGAAAUCCCCAGGCUUAACCUGGGAACUGCAUCCGAUACUGGAUGGCUUGAAUUCGGGAGAGGGAUGCAGAAUUCCAGGUGUAGCGGUGAAAUGCGUAGAUAUCUGGAGGAAUACCGGUGGCGAAGGCGGCAUCCUGGACCGACAUUGACGCUGAACGGCGAAAGCUAGGGAGCGAAACAGGG